ACCCAGCCCAAUCUCACAGCUAUGCGUCCAACAUUUGUGUCAACCUGUUAUACAAUGAUGAAAGUUGAGACAUUUUCCAUUACUUCUGGCACAUGUUAAACUAGUUAUAACUUACAGGAAAAGCAAGAUGGUGUAGUGUCAGAAGCCGUACGCACUCCACACUUUUCAGUCCCAAUCCCCUUAUGCUUAGCAGAUACUCUCUACAAGAGCAAAUUCGGUUUUAAUAUAUAUAUAUACUACAUAUUUCAGUAGAUCAAAUAAGAAAUUCACAAUAUGAUAUCUCCAGCAAAACAGGGAUGCCAUGGUGAUAUGCUAACUGCUGCGUUAUACUAAUCCAUUCAAGAACUAAAGUUUUGGGCUUACUUUGCUUUGUCAGGAGGAAUAUCUCUCAACCAUUCCAGAUCAAUGCUUCCAUGUUCUCUUACCAAUCGAUUAAGGAAAUCCUGGAUGAUAUAUAUUGGUUAAUGUCAACUGAUCCCAAAGGCCAUAUAUUUGUGAAUAAAAGCCGAUUAUGCUUACACUGGGAUUCCAGUCUGUAUUUGGCAUUUAGCCAUGGGCGGUGUGAUGCUGAACUUGUGGAUUCUCUUGAUGCCUGAUCUUGGAGAGCCAAAAGGGAUGUAAAGUUCCAUGUUGCUGAGCCGUCGGUGGGAAAUUCUCUGCAUGUUUCGUAAGGGUCACAGUUGCCUGUUUGUGUAGAUCACUUGUGAUGUUCCUAUGUUAUGCUUAAGAGGAGUUUUUGGAAUCCACGAAUUCUCAACUUGACACUCGUUUUGCUUCUCUCUCCCUUCAUCCAUUUCUGGGCUCGGCUAACUG